UGGGGAAUAUUGCACAAUGGGCGCAAGCCUGAUGCAGCCAUGCCGCGUGUGUGAAGAAGGCCUUCGGGUUGUAAAGCACUUUCAGCGAGGAGGAAGGUGGUGAGCUUAAUACGCUCAUCAAUUGACGUUACUCGCAGAAGAAGCACCGGCUAACUCCGUGCCAGCAGCCGCGGUAAUACGGAGGGUGCAAGCGUUAAUCGGAAUUACUGGGCGUAAAGCGCACGCAGGCGGUUUGUUAAGUCAGAUGUGAAAAUCCCCGGGCUCAACCUGGGAACUGCAUUUGAAACUGGCAAGCUAGAGUCUCGUAGAGGGGGGUAGAAUUCCAGGUGUAGCGGUGAAAUGCGUAGAGAUCUGGAGGAAUACCGGUGGCGAAGGCGGCCCCCUGGACGAAGACUGGCGCUCAGGUGCGAAAGCGUGGGGAGCAAAACAGGAUUAGAUACCCUGGUAGUCCACGCUGUAAACGAUGUCGAUUUUGGAGGUUGUGCCCUUGAGGCGUGGCUUCCGGAGCUAACGCGUUAAA
rnacentral:rRNA from 1 species